UUAACGGCCGCAGUACUUUGACUGUGCUAAGGUAGCAUAAUCACUUGUCUUUUAAUUGGAGACUGGAAUGAAAGGAUGUAUGGAUCAUAGCUGUCUCCUGCAACUUAUACAAAAUUACUUAAAGGGUGAAAAUUCCCUUAAUAUUACAUUAGACGAGAAGACCCUUAAAAUUAUAACAAAAAUACAACUAACUAUUGAGUGUUUGUUGGGGCAACAGAGUAUCUAAAAACAUACUUAUAAGCAUAUACUCACAACCAAAUAAUAGUAGCAAUGAAAUUACUCUAGGGAUAACAGCAUAAUUUAUUAUAAGAUUGGGACCUCGAUGUUGGACUCAG
rnacentral:rRNA from 1 species